GCUCGAGUGGCGAACGGGUGAGUAACACGUGAGUAACCUGCCCUUGACUUCGGGAUAGCUUCAGGAAACUGGGGCUAAUACCGGAUAGGAGCUCCUGCUGCAUGGUGGGGGUUGGAAAGUUUCGGCGGUUGGGGAUGGACUCGCGGCUUAUCAGCUUGUUGGUGGGGUAGUGGCUUACCAAGGCUUUGACGGGUAGCCGGCCUGAGAGGGUGACCGGCCACAUUGGGACUGAGAUACGGCCCAG
rnacentral:rRNA from 1 species